UACGUAGGGUCCAAGCGUUAUCCGGAAUCACUGGGCGUAAAGCGUGCGUAGACGGUUAUGUAAGUCAGAUGUGAAAGCCCCGGGCUCAACCUGGGAAUUGCAUUUGAGACUGUGUAGCUAGGGUGCGGAAGAGGGAAGCGGAAUUUCCGGUGUAGCGGUGAAAUGCGUAGAUAUCGGAAGGAACACCAGUGGCGAAAGCGGCUUCCUGGUCCAGCACCGACGUUCAGGCACGAAAGCGUGGGGAGCAAACAGG
rnacentral:rRNA from 1 species